rnacentral:rRNA from 1 species
GACGAACGCUGGCGGCGUGCUUAACACAUGCAAGUCGAACGAAGAGCGACGGAAGCUUGCUUCUAUCAAUCUUAGUGGCGAACGGGUGAGUAACGCGUAAUCAACCUGCCCUUCAGAGGGGGACAACAGUUGGAAACGACUGCUAAUACCGCAUACGAUCUAAUCUCGGCAUCGAGGAUAGAUGAAAGGUGGCCUCUACAUGUAAGCUAUCACUGAAGGAGGGGAUUGCGUCUGAUUAGCUAGUUGGAGGGGUAACGGCCCACCAAGGCGAUGAUCAGUAGCCGGUCUGAGAGGAUGAACGGCCACAUUGGGACUGAGACACGGCCCAGACUCCUACGGGAGGCAGCAGUGGGGAAUCUUCCGCAAUGGACGAAAGUCUGACGGAGCAACGCCGCGUGAGUGAUGACGGCCUUCGGGUUGUAAAGCUCUGUUAAUCGGGACGAAAGGCCUUCUUGCGAAUAG